rnacentral:pre_miRNA from 1 species
AUUAUACUCCCUCCGUCCCAAAAUUCUUGCCUUAGCUUUGUCUAGAUACGGAUGUAUCUAUUCACAUUUUAUUGUUAGAUACAGUACAUCUGUAUCUAGACAAAUCUAAGGCAAAAAAAUUGGACGGACGUAAUACAUA